UGCCAGCCGCCGCGGUAAUACGGAGGGUGCAAGCGUUAAUCGGAAUUACUGGGCGUAAAGCGCGCGUAGGUGGUCUGUUAAGUCGGAUGUGAAAGCCCUGGGCUCAACCUGGGAACUGCAUCCAAAACUGAUUCACUAGAGUACGAUAGAGGGAGGUAGAAUUCACAGUGUAGCGGUGGAAUGCGUAGAUAUUGUGAAGAAUACCAAUGGCGAAGGCAGCCUCCUGGAUCUGUACUGACACUGAGGUGCGAAAGUGUGGGGAGCAAACAGGAUUAGAUA
rnacentral:rRNA from 1 species